AUCGAUGAAGAACGCAGCGAAAUGCGAUAAGUAAUGUGAAUUGCAGAAUUCAGUGAAUCAUCGAAUCUUUGAACGCACAUUGCGCCCCCUGGUAUUCCGGGGGGCACACCUGUUCGAGCGCCAUUUCUACCCUAGAGCCCUGCUCUGUGAUGGGCCCCGUCCUCGCGGACGGGCCCGAAACCCGUGGGCGCCGUCGUCCGGCCCUGAGCGUAGCAAGAGAAAUCCCUCGCUCGGAGUGUCUGUCGGUGGCCGCCCCGAACCAUUUUUACAAGGUUGGCCUCGGAUCAGGUGGGGAUACCCGCUGAACUUAAGCAUAUCAAUAAGCGGAGGAAAAGAAACCAACAGGGAUUGCCUCAGUAACGGCGAGUGAAGCGGCAACAGCUCAAAUUUGAAAUCUGGCUCACGCCCGAGUUGUAAUUUGUAGAGGAUGUUUCGGGUGAAGCCGCGGUCCAAGUCCCUUGGAACAGGACGUCAUAGAGGGUGAGAACCCCGUACCUGGCCGCCGGUGCCCCCCGCUGUGAAACUCCUUCGACGAGUCGAGUUGUUUGGGAAUGCAGCUCUAAAUUGGUGGUAAAUUCCAUCUAAAGCUAAAUACCGGCCAGAGACCGAUAGCGCACAAGUAGAGUGAUCGAAAGAUGAAAAGCACUUUGAAAAGAGAGUUAAAAAGUACGUGAAAUUGUUGAAAGGGAAGCGCUUGCGGCCAGACUUGCCCGCGGUUGCUCAGCCCGCCUUUUGGCGGGUGCACUCUUCCGCGGUCAGGCCAGCAUCGGUUUGGGCGGUCGGAUAAAGGCGUUGGGAACGUGGCCUCCCCUCGGGGAGGUGUUAUAGCCCGGCGCGCAAUGCGACCAGUCCGGACCGAGGUUCGCGCUUUGCUAGGAUGCUGGCGUAAUGGCCGUAAGCGGCCCGUCUUGAAACACGG
rnacentral:rRNA from 1 species